rnacentral:lncRNA from 1 species
AAUAAGCCACAAUCUGCAGGAUAAACACAAGAAAUUAGGACACGGUUUAGCGCCCCCUAACUCUUUCUCCUCACUUUUUUAUAUUAAAUAAAAUAAUCCACAUAGAUCUUCAUGGUUCCGAAUUAAGAGACCCCUGUCCAGAUCGCAUUGCACCUCCAAACUCAGAUGUCUCAACAACUAGUCGUGAUGUCAGGAGGUGGGGCAAACCCCGCAAGCACAAGCAAGAGAACAUGGCGAAGAAUUCAAAAUUUGAGCAUGAUAGGUAACAUAACUAUGCUUUGCCAGGAAAAAUGAAGUUUCAAAGUUGAAAUUCUAACUACAAGUUUAACUUGGUUGCACACAAAACACCUUAAACACACACAACUAACCCACCCCCACCCUCAACCCAAUGAUGCAAAACUCAGAAUUUGCAAAUGAAUCAAAAUCCUAGAAAGGAAAAGCAAGAGAACACGGCAAGGAGUUCAAAAUUUGAGUAGAAUAAGUAAUAUAACUAUGCUUUGCCAGGAAAAUUGAAGUAUUUUGAAGCCGAAAUUCUGACAAAGAUUUUAACUUUCCAUACGAAAUAACUUAUCAGACCCGCCCAACUACCCCAUCUUCUAAAACAAUAAACAAAAUUCAUAUUUAAUGUGUAACAUGAUUUCAAAGCAGAAAAAUUGAAUCUUGAAUACUAUUAAAGUUGAGAGUCUUAACAAAAAAUUUAACUUCCCAUACGAAAUAGUAGCUUAAAAGAGACACCCAACUCUCCCAUUCACCACAAGAAUCAAAACCCAGAAUUUGCCACAUAAAUUUAAAGCAGAAGAAAACGACUUUGAUUCAUGACCUUAACAACAACUAUUAUGCCUCAAUCCCAAGUUAAUUGGAUCAGUUUCAUUCAAAUUCAUGAGCUUAAACUUUCAGAAGAUAACGAUAAAGAAAAAAGAACCUUACGAGGUUACGACGAAACAAUUAUGCAGCGUCUGGAGUCUGAGUAGGUGAAGAGAGGGGUUAAAGAUAAGGGCGAAAAAUAAAGAAUAUGCGAGUUGUGCAGGAAAAGGGGAACCCUAGAAAAGGUGAUUCUGGAGAUAUAUGGGCAAAUCUUUUAAUGGCGGAAAAAGAAUGGUCGAAGGAGAGGGGCCAAUACUAGUCAGUGAUUCCAACAAAUGCAACAGGGUCCUCCUCUUCACUCUAUGGGAAAGUC